UACGUAGGCAGCAAGCGUUGUUCGGAGUUACUGGGCGUAAAGGGUGCGUAGGCGGCUUUUUAAGUCUGGUGUGAAAUCUCCUGGCUCAACUGGGAGGGUGCGCCGGAUACUGAGAGGCUAGAGUGCGGGAGAGGAAAGUGGAAUUCCUGGUGCAGCGGUGAAAUGCGUAGAUAUCAGGAGGAACACCUGUGGUGUAAACGGCUUUCUGGACCGUAACUGACGCUGAGGCACGAAAGCGUGGGUAGCAAACAGG
rnacentral:rRNA from 1 species